AUUGAACGCUGGCGGCAGGCUUAACACAUGCAAGUCGAACGAGUGGCGGACGGGUGAGUAAUGCUUGGGAAUCUGGCUUAUGGAGGGGGAUAACGACGGGAAACUGACGCUAAUACCGCGUACAAUAGGAUGAGCCCAAGUGGGCGUAGGUAGUUGGCGGGGUAAUGGCCUCCCAAGCCGACGUUCUCUAGCUGGUCUGAGAGGAUGACCAGCCACACCGGGACUGAUACACGGCCCGGACUCCUCCGGGAGGCCGCGUUGGGGAAUAUUGCGCAGUGGGGGCAACCUGACGCAGCCAUGCCGCGUGAAUGAAGAAGGCCUUCGGGUUGUAAAGUUCUUUCGGUGACGAGGCGUUCAUCACAGGAGAAGCACCGGCUAACUACGUGCCAGCAGCCGCGGUAAUAC
rnacentral:rRNA from 1 species